rnacentral:rRNA from 1 species
UCCGUUGGUGAACCAGCGGAGGGAUCAUUACCGAGUUUACAACUCCCAAACCCAAUGUGAACCAUACCAAACUGUUGCCUCGGCGGGGUCACGCCCCGGGUGCGUCGCAGCCCCGGAACCAGGCGCCCGCCGGAGGGACCAACCAAACUCUUUCUGUAGUCCCCUCGCGGACGUUAUUUCUUACAGCUCUGAGCAAAAAUUCAAAAUGAAUCAAAACUUUCAACAACGGAUCUCUUGGUUCUGGCAUCGAUGAAGAACGCAGCGAAAUGCGAUAAGUAAUGUGAAUUGCAGAAUUCAGUGAAUCAUCGAAUCUUUGAACGCACAUUGCGCCCGCCAGUAUUCUGGCGGGCAUGCCUGUCCGAGCGUCAUUUCAACCCUCGAACCCCUCCGGGGGGUCGGCGUUGGGGAUCGGGAACCCCUAAGACGGGAUCCCGGCCCCGAAAUACAGUGGCGGUCUCGCCGCAGCCUCUCAUGCGCAGUAGUUUGCACAACUCGCACCGGGAGCGCGGCGCGUCCACGUCCGUAAAACACCCAACUUCUGAAAUGUUGACCUCGGAUCAGGUAGGAAUACCCGCUGAACUUAAGCAUAUCAAUAAGCGGAGGA